rnacentral:rRNA from 1 species
ACUCAAAUGAAUUGACGGGGGCCCGCACAAGCGGCGGAGCAUGCGGAUUAAUUCGAUGCAACGCGAAGAACCUUACCUGGGUUUGACAUGCACUGGAAGCAUCCAGAGAUGGGUGUGCCCUUGUGGCCGGUGCACAGGUGGUGCAUGGCUGUCGUCAGCUCGUGUCGUGAGAUGUUGGGUUAAGUCCCGCAACGAGCGCAACCCUCGUUCCAUGUUGCCAGCACGCCCUUCGGGGUGGUGGGGACUCAUGGGAGACUGCCGGGGUCAACUCGGAGGAAGGUGGGGAUGACGUCAAGUCAUCAUGCCCCUUAUGUCCAGGGCUUCACGCAUGCUACAAUGGCCGGUACAGAGGGCUGCGAUCCCGUGAGGGGGAGCGAAUCCCAAAAAGCCGGUCUCAGUUCGGAUUGGGGUCUGCAACUCGACCCCAUGAAGUCGGAGUCGCUAGUAAUCGCAGAUCAGCAACGCUGCGGUGAAUACGUUCCCGGGCCUUGUACACACCGCCCGU